rfam:Triticum aestivum genome assembly, contig: Triticum_aestivum_CS42_TGACv1_scaffold_404139_5BL
GAAGUACUCCCUCCGUCCGAAAAUACUUGCCACCAAAAUGGAUAAAAAGGAAUGUAUCUAGAACUAAUAUACAUCUAGAUACAUCCCCUUUUAUUCAUUUUGAUGACAAGUAUUUCCGGAUGGAGGGAGUAUGGA